UGGGGAAUUUUGGACAAUGGGCGAAAGCCUGAUCCAGCAAUGCCGCGUGUGGGAAUAAGGCCUUCGGGUUGUAAACCACUUUUGUACGGAACGAAACGGUCUGCCCUAAUACGGUGGGCUAAUGACGGUACCGUAAGAAUAAGCACCGGCUAACUACGUGCCAGCAGCCGCGGUAAUACGUAGGGUGCGAGCGUUAAUCGGAAUUACUGGGCGUAAAGCGUGCGCAGGCGGUUAUAUAAGACAGUUGUGAAAUCCCCGGGCUCAACCUGGGAAUUGCAUCUGUGACUGUAUAGCUAGAGUACGGUAGAGGGGGAUGGAAUUCCGCGUGUAGCAGUGAAAUGCGUAGAUAUGCGGAGGAACACCGAUGGCGAAGGCAAUCCCCUGGACCUGUACUGACGCUCAUGCACGAAAGCGUGGGGAGCAAACA
rnacentral:rRNA from 1 species